rnacentral:rRNA from 1 species
UACGGAGGGUCCAAGCGUUGUUCGGAAUUACUGGGCGUAAAGCGUGUGCAGGCGGCUACGUAAGUCGGAUGUGAAAGCCCUCGGCUCAACCGAGGAACUGCAUUCGAUACUGCGUAGCUUGAGUCCUGGAGAGGAGAGUGGAAUUCCCGGUGUAGAGGUGAAAUUCGUAGAUAUCGGGAGGAACAUCAGUGGCGAAGGCGACUCUCUGGACAGUGACUGACGCUGAUACA